rnacentral:rRNA from 1 species
UAGUAGCGAAGUUAGUGAUGUCACACUGCCAAGAAAAGCUUCUAGCGUUAAUUAUACUCCACCCGUACCGCAAACCGACACAGGUAGUCGAGGCGAGUAGCCUCAGGUGAGCGAGAGAACUCUCGUUAAGGAACUCGGCAAAAUGGCCCCGUAACUUCGGGAGAAGGGGCGCUGACUUAUGGUCAGCCGCAGUGAAUAGGCCCAAGCAACUGUUUAUCAAAAACACAGCUCUCUGCUAAAUCGUAAGAUGAUGUAUAGGGGGUGACGCCUGCCCGGUGCUGGAAGGUUAAGAGGAGUGCUUAGCGUAAGCGAAGGUAUGAAUUGAAGCCCCAGUAAACAGCGGCCGUAACAAUAACGGUCCUAAGGUAGCGAAAUUCCUUGUCGGGUAAGUUCCGACCCGCACGAAAGGCGUAAUGAUUUGGGCACUGUCUCAACGAGAGACUCGGUGAAAUUUUAAUACCUGUGAAGAUGCAGGUUACCCGCGACAGGACGGAAAGACCCCAUGGAGCUUUACUGCAGUUUGAUAUUGAGUAUCUGUACCACAUGUACAGGAUAGGUAGGAGCCUAUGACCUCGGGACGCCAGUUUCGAGUGAGGCGUUGUUGGGAUACUACCCUUGUGUUAUGGCUACUCUAACCCAGAUAGGUUAUCCCUAUCGGAGACAGUGUCUGACGGGCAGUUUGACUGGGGCGGUCGCCUCCUAAAAGGUAACGGAGGCGCCCAAAGGUUCCCUCAGAAUGGUUGGAAAUCAUUCGCAGAGUGUAAAGGUAUAAGGGAGCUUGACUGCGAGAGCUACAACUCGAGCAGGGACGAAAGUCGGGCUUAGUGAUCCGGUGGUUCCGCAUGGAAGGGCCAUCGCUCAACGGAUAAAAGCUACCCUGGGGAUAACAGGCUUAUCUCCCCCAAGAGUUCACAUCGACGGGGAGGUUUGGCACCUCGAUGUCGGCUCGUCGCAUCCUGGGGCUGUAGUCGGUCCCAAGGGUUGGGCUGUUCGCCCAUUAAAGCGGCACGCGGGCUGGGUUCAGAACGUCGUGAGACAGUUCGGUCCCUAUCCGUCGCGGGCGUAGGAAAUUUGAGAGGAUCUGCUCCUAGUACGAGAGGACCAGAGUGGACUUACCGCUGGUGUACCAGUUGUUCUGCCAAGAGCAUCGCUGGGUAGCUAUGUAGGGAAGGGAUAAACGCUGAAAGCAUCUAAGUGUGAAGCCCACCUCAAGAUGAGAUUUCCCAUGAUUUUAUAUCAGUAAGAGCCCUGAGAGAUGAUCAGGUUGAUAGGUUAGAAGUGGAAGUGUGGUGACACAUGUAGCGGACUAAUACUAAUAGCUCGAGGACUUAUCC